rnacentral:lncRNA from 1 species
UUCUUUCUCUGAUCAUCCUCCUUUUUUAUUUGGAUGUUGAGGGCUCUCCUUAUAACUAGGGACUCUCCUUGAGCCGCAUACUCAUUCUCGUCAUCCUCAUCCUCUAGUGAUGACAUGUUAUUAAUUUUAGAGUCACUACUGAUCUCGCCAUUUUCCCUUAACAGCAUCACCCUCUGAUUCAGGCAUUAGGAAGCAAUGUGCCUGAAUCCUAAACACUUAAAACAUUUAAUAGUACUAUGUUUCUAAGAUGAGAUAGGUGUUUUACCUUUAUAGUCGGGUGUGGCUGCCUUCUCCUUCUUUGCCUGAACU